rnacentral:lncRNA from 1 species
UAAGCCAAGCAGGCUAAGUGCCGGUGAACUGAAUCAGGCUAUAAGCCUAGCAGGCUAAGUGCCGGUGAACUGAAUCAGGCUAUAAGCCUAGCAGGCUAAGUGCCGGUGAUUUGAAUCAGGCUAUAAGCCUAGCAGGCUAAGUGCCGGUGAUCUGAAUCAGGCUAUAAGCCUAGCAGGUUAAGUGCCGGUGAACUGGAUUAGGCUAUAAGCCUAGCAGGCUAAGUGCCAGUGAAUCUGUUUAAAUUAAGUGAUUAUUUGC